ACGAAAGCAAAAACUUGCCACAUUUCCUACCUCACGUACCACAGGCCAGUGGAUCCCAAACCUUUGUGACCCACCUAAGCCCAGCUGGGACCAAGAGAAACCGUCUGCGACCCACCAGAGGGCCCCGACCCACCGUUUGGGAAACACUGCUCUGUAGGCUAGACUUCACUCUCCUACUCCUUCAAAAGUAAACAUGUUUCUAAACAUCCGUUAACAUAUAUUCUCACGUUUUACAAAGCUGAAUGAAACGACUAAAUAUAUCAUCAAAUAUCAACAGAAACCAUCUCCAAUAUCACAUCGAUAGCAUCAUGUUACAUUCAACACUUCUACACGCCAGAGAAAGCAGCUAAACCCCAAACCAAACCCAAAGUCCACUAAGUUAGGAGAGCAGCAGACACACUUGGUUAUCAGAUUUUGUGUCAGCAGUAAACAUGGUCUGUAGAGAUUCUAUAGAGUUGGCACUGAGUGAAGGAGGUUGGUAUCAGAGCCAUGAAUUUACAGAGUUGUGCCAAUUUUAGAAUGUUGAAUAUUGAUCUAAUUCUAGACAUACAGUUACAUAGCAAUAUUCAAAUUUACACCAUGUAAUGUUAAUGGGGAGCUACCAUAGAAUGUUGCAGUGUCAUGUAAAUGUGUCAUAAUGCAGAAAGUUCUGGAAAUACAUGGCUCUGGUUGGUAUGAAUGAACCAUGAGAAUGCUCUGUGGAGUGUAGACAGUGUCAGUGUACAUCUGUCCUCUCAUCUUAGCUGUUUGUCAGUGAAUGACUACGGGUGACAUCUUGAUAGGGUAGAAAUGCAGAGACCAUUGCAUGCAUUCCAUGUACACACAUGAAUUAUUGAGUUGCCUUGCCUUAGUCUAUUGGAAUUCUACAUAGUUCAUCACCGUUUCUCAUGAAAUCACAAAGCUAGCACAAAUAUAUGCUGAUAAGCUUGAUAAAUAAUCAUCACGAUGUGAUUCAACAACAUAAACUGGAUUAUCUCAAGUGAGCAGUACGAAUGUAAACAUCACUGUAAUUCUAGGCAACAUUCAUCAUCUUAUUGACAUCUCUAAUGAACAUAGAAUCUCCAUGAAUAGAAUCUCAUUAGAAUCAUUGUCUUAGUCGUGAUUAUGGGAGUAAGAAGAUAUAUAAUAAUUUAGGAAUUACAAUUAUUUCUCAAAUGUUUUGAUUUGUAUUCAUUUAAAGAAUAAACAGUAAACAAAGAAUAAACAAAACACCUUACACUAUUUUGUCACAAAUGUAGCUUAAAUUGGACAAUGAUGUUGAGUCUGAUGAGAUCGUUCUCUGAAUUGGCUAUUUUAAAGAGAAAAAAAUCAUGCUCAAAUACAAAUUUAGUUCACACGUUUGAACCCAUGGAGUGAACUUGAGCACAUAGCCAUGUCGUGUACAUGUCAAGACAUGGACACUGUACUGAAAUAUAAAAACAUCCAACAUUCAGCAGCUUCAACAUUCAUACAGAAAUAGGUUUGAUAAUAUCUCAGAUAUCCAGCAUCUAGAUCAGCACUCUGUAACUCAUAUGAAUGAAUCUCCGGUUUUGCUCCGUAAACAUGGUUUGGGGUAAAUUCAUCUGGACAGUGUUUAUCUACAGCAGACUGAAUACUAACUUCACACAGUCUUGAUAUUUAUUUAUUUUUACCUUUAUUUUACCAGGCAAGUCAGUUAAGAACAAAUUCUUAUUUUCAAUGACAGCCUAGGAACGGUGGGUUAACUGCCUUGUUCAGAGGCAGAGCAACAGAUUUUUACCUUGUCAGCUCAGGGAUUCAAUCCACCCCAUGCCAGAGUCUUGAAAUGUCAUGCAAAUCUCCCAAUCAUUGGAUGAUUUGAGCAAAUAAGACGUGAGUAUCACGAGUUAGGACACAGCCCUGUAGGAGGAGAAUGUGUGUUCAGGCUGGGUCACUGUGGAAACUUCCAGCCCUGUAGAAAGAGCUGUAUUCAGGCUGGUUCACUGUGGAAACUUCCAGCCCUGUAGAAAGAGCUGUGUUCAGGCUGGGUCACUGUGGAAACUUCCAGCCCUGUAGAAAGAGCUGUAUUCAGACUGGGUCACUGUGGAAACUUCCAGUCCUGUAGAAAGAGCUGUAUUCAGGCUGGGUCACUGUGGAAACUUCCAGCCCUGUAGAAAGAGCUGUGUUCUGUCUGUCUCACUGUGGAAACUUCCAGCCCUGUAGAAAGAGCUGUGUUCUGUCUGGGUCACUGUGGAAACUUCCAGCCCUGUGGAACGAGCUGUGUUCUGUCUGUCUCACUGGGGAAACUUCCAGCCCUGUAGAAAGAGCUGUGUUCAGGCUGGGUCACUGUGGAAACUUCCAGCCCUGUAGAAAGAGCUGUGUUCUGUCUGUCUCACUGUGGAAACUUCCAGCCCUGUAGAAAGAGCUGUAUUCAGGCUGGGUCACUGUGGAAACUUCCAGCCCUGUGGAACGAGCUGUGUUCUGUCUGUCUCACUGGGGAAACUUCCAGCCCUGUAGAAAGAGCUGUGUUCAGGCUGGGUCACUGUGGAAACUUCCAGCCCUGUAGAAAGAGCUGUGUUCUGUCUGUCUCACUGUGGAAACUUCCAGCCCUGUAGAAAGAGCUGUAUUCAGGCUGGGUCACUGUGGAAAUCUCCAUCCCUAGCUGAUGUGAGUGCCAUUUUAUAUUCACAAAUAUGAGCUCAGGUCAGUUUUCCACAGAUCAGUUUAGCAUUUCUAGGGUUGAUCUUAGUGUUGUUUAUAGGAAUCAGCCUUAUAAAUAAUAGAAUACAAUAUGAGGAGUUACUGUGAAUCCUGUGUUUCUGCCAGGGCAGCAGGGUAGAGUAACUCAGAACAGCCCAGUGGGGCAACAUGGAGUCAAAGUGCUGAGUCAAGCUGCUGCUAUCUACACACACACACACACACACACACACACACACACACACACACACACACACACACACACACACACACACACACACAACACACACAGUUGAAGGGAGAGGGGUAUGUAUAGCUGUGAUAGGAGACUGAGGUACUCCAGACUACGGGACUUGUACCCAGUACAGAUGUGUCAUGUAUGUGUAUGGGUAGUAUUGCUUAAGGUUUGAAAAUCUGGAAUAUAUUUAUAUAGAAAAUAUCCAAAACAAUAAAAACAGUUUACUUUUACGAAACCACUUAUUACCCAAGAUGUUACCCUCCCUCCCAAGCCCUCACACCCUUUGGCAUGAUA
rnacentral:lncRNA from 1 species